rnacentral:rRNA from 1 species
AUUGAACGCUGGCGGCAGGCCUAACACAUGCAAGUCGAGCGGAGCGGCGGACGGGUGAGUAAUGCCUAGGAAUCUGCCUGGUAGUGGGGGAUAACGUCCGGAAACGGGCGCUAAUACCGCAUACUCUCAGAUGAGCCUAGGUCGGAUUAGCUAGUUGGUGGGGUAAAGGCCUACCAAGGCGACGCACCGUAACUGGUCUGCGAGGAUGAUCAGUCACACGGGAACUGAGACACGGGCAGAACUCCUACGGGAGGCAGCAUGGGGGAAUAUUGGACAUGGGGCGAAGGCUUGAUCCAGCCUUGCCGGGUGUGUGAAGAAGGUCUUCGGUUUGUAAAGCACUUUAAGUUGGAAGGCGUGACCAACAGAAUAAGCACCGGCUAACUUCGUGCCAGCAGCCGCGUAAUUC